rnacentral:rRNA from 1 species
GAUGAACGCUAGCUACAGGCUUAACACAUGCAAGUCGAGGGGAAACGAUAUUGGAAGCUUGCUUCCGAUAGGCGUCGACCGGCGCACGGGUGAGUAACGCGUAUCCAACCUGCCCAUCACUUGGGGAUAACCUUGCGAAAGUAAGACUAAUACCCAAUGAUAUCCGUCGAAGACAUCUGAAGUGGAGUAAAGAUUCAUCGGUGAUGGAUGGGGAUGCGUCUGAUUAGCUUGUUGGCGGGGUAACGGCCCACCAAGGCGACGAUCAGUAGGGGUUCUGAGAGGAAGGUCCCCCACAUUGGAACUGAGACACGGUCCGAACUCCUACGGGAGGCAGCAGUGAGGAAUAUUGGUCAAUGGACGAGAGUCUGAACCAGUCAAGUAGCGUGCAGGAUGACGGCCCUAUGGGUUGUAAACUGCUUUUAUAAGGGAAUAAAGUGAGUCUCGUGAGACUUUUUGCAUGUACCUUAUGAAUAAGGACCGGCUAAUUCCGUGCCAGCCGCCGCGGUAA